GAUGAAGAACGUAGUGAAAUGCGAUAAGUAAUGUGAAUUGCAGAAUUCAGUGAAUCAUCGAAUCUUUGAACGCACAUUGCGCCCCCUGGCAUUCCGGGGGGCAUGCCUGUUCGAGCGUCAUUACAACCCUCAAGCUCUGCUUGGUAUUGGGCUCUGCUGGGACCGGCAGGCCUUAAAAUCAGUGGCGGCGCCACUCGGCUUCAAGCGUAGUAAUUCUUCUCGCUUCGGAGACCCGGGUGCGUGCUAGCCAGCAACCCCCAACUUUCUUAGGUUGACCUCGGAUCAGGUAGGGAUACCCGCUGAGCUUAAGCAUAUCCAUAAGCGGAGGA
rnacentral:misc_RNA from 1 species